GCCCCACCCGAUCCCAUUUCGAACUCGGAAGUGAAACCGCUUAGCGCCGAUGAUAGUGUGAGGUCUUCUCAUGUGAAAGUAGGACACCGCCAGGC
rnacentral:rRNA from 1 species